AUGCUUUGGCAACACAUGUACUAAAAUUGGAACGAUACAGAGAAGAUUAGUAUG
rnacentral:snRNA from 1 species